GAUGAACGCUGGCGGCGUGCUUAACACAUGCAAGUCGAACGAAGCACCUUAUUCUGAUUUCUUCGGAAUGAAAAAUUUGGUGACUGAGUGGCGGACGGGUGAGUAACGCGUGGGUAACCUGCCUCAUACAGGGGGAUAACAGUUAGAAAUGACUGCUAAUACCGCAUAAGACCACAGCACCGCAUGGUGCAGGGGUAAAAACUCCGGUGGUAUGAGAUGGACCCGCGUCUGAUUAGGUAGUUGGUGGGGUAACGGCCUACCAAGCCGACGAUCAGUAGCCGACCUGAGAGGGUGACCGGCCACAUUGGGACUGAGACACGGCCCAAACUCCUACGGGAGGCAGCAGUGGGGAAUAUUGCACAAUGGGGGAAACCCUGAUGCAGCGACGCCGCGUGAGCGAUGAAGUAUUUCGGUAUGUAAAGCUCUAUCAGCAGGGAAGAAAAUGACGGU
rnacentral:rRNA from 1 species